GAUGAACGCUGGCGGCGUGCCUAAUACAUGCAAGUCGAGCGAACAGACGGGGAGCUUGCUCCUCUGACGUUAGCGGCGGACGGGUGAGUAACACGUGGAUAACCUACCUAUAAGACUGGGAUAACUUCGGGAAACCGGAGCUAAUACCGGAUAAUAUAUUGAACCGCAUGGUUCAAUAGUGAAAGACGGUUUUGCUGUCACUUAUAGAUGGAUCCGCGCCGCAUUAGCUAGUUGGUAAGGUAACGGCUUACCAAGGCAACGAUGCGUAGCCGACCUGAGAGGGUGAUCGGCCACACUGGAACUGAGACACGGUCCAGACUCCUACGGGAGGCAGCAGUAGGGAAUCUUCCGCAAUGGGCGAAAGCCUGACGGAGCAACGCCGCGUGAGUGAUGAAGGUCUUCGGGUCAUAAAACUCUGUUAUUAGGGAAGAACAAAUGUGUAAGUAACUAUGCACGUCUUGACGGUACCUAAUCAGAAAGCCACGGCUAACUACGUG
rnacentral:rRNA from 1 species